rnacentral:rRNA from 1 species
AGAGUUUGAUCCUGGCUCAGAUUGAACGCUGGCGGCAUGCUUUACACAUGCAAGUCGAACGGCAGCGCGGGGCAACCUGGCGGCGAGUGGCGAACGGGUGAGUAAUAUAUCGGAACGUACCCAAGAGUGGGGGAUAACGUAGCGAAAGCUACGCUAAUACCGCAUACGAUCUACGGAUGAAAGCAGGGGACCGCAAGGCCUUGUGCUCCUGGAGCGGCCGAUAUCUGAUUAGCUAGUUGGUGAGGUAAAGGCUCACCAAGGCGACGAUCAGUAGCUGGUCUGAGAGGACGACCAGCCACACUGGAACUGAGACACGGUCCAGACUCCUACGGGAGGCAGCAGUGGGGAAUUUUGGACAAUGGGCGCAAGCCUGAUCCAGCAAUGCCGCGUGAGUGAAGAAGGCCUUCGGGUUGUAAAGCUCUUUUGCCAGGGAAGAAACGGCUGAGGCUAAUAUCCUCGGCUAAUGACGGUACCUGAAGAAUAAGCACCGGCUAACUACGUGCCAGCAGCCGCGGUAAUACGUAGGGUGCAAGCGUUAAUCGGAAUUACUGGGCGUAAAGCGUGCGCAGGCGGUUUUGUAAGUCUGUCGUGAAAGCCCCGGG